GAUGAACGCUGGCGGCGUGCCUAAUACAUGCAAGUAGAACGCUGAAGGAGGAGCUUGCUCUUCUGGAUGAGUUGCGAACGGGUGAGUAACGCGUAGGUAACCUGCCUGGUAGCGGGGGAUAACUAUUGGAAACGAUAGCUAAUACCGCAUGACAACAGUUAUUGCAUGAUAACUGUUUAAAAGGGGCAACUGCUCCACUACCAGAUGGACCUGCGUUGUAUUAGCUAGUUGGUGAGGUAACGGCUCACCAAGGCGACGAUACAUAGCCGACCUGAGAGGGUGAUCGGCCAGACUGGGACUGAGACACGGCCCAGACUCCUACGGGAGGCAGCAGUAGGGAAUCUUCGGCAAUGGACGGAAGUCUGACCGAGCAACGCCGCGUGAGUGAAGAAGGUUUUCGGAUCGUAAAGCUCUGUUGUAAGAGAAGAACGAGUGUGAGAGUGGAAAGUUCACACUGUGACGGUAUCUUAUCAGAAAGGGACGGCUAACUACGUG
rnacentral:rRNA from 1 species